GAUGAACGCUGGCGGCGUGCCUAAUACAUGCAGGUCGAGCGAACGGACGAGAAGCUUGCUUCUCUGAUGUUAGCGGCGGACGGGUGAGUAACACGUGGAUAACCUACCUAUAAGACUGGGAUAACUUCGGGAAACCGGAGCUAAUACCGGAUGAUAUUUUGAACCGCAUGGUUCAAAAGUGAACGACGGUCUUGCUGUCACUUAUAGAUGGAUCCGCGCUGCAUUAGCUAGUUGGUAAGGUAACGGCUUACCAAGGCAACGAUGCAUAGCCGACCUGAGAGGGUGAUCGGCCACACUGGAACUGAGACACGGUCCAGACUCCUACGGGAGGCAGCAGUAGGGAAUCUUCCGCAAUGGGCGAAAGCCUGGCGGAGCAACGCCGCGUGAGUGAUGAAGGUCUUCGGAUCGUAAAACUCUGUUAUUAGGGAAGAACAUAUGUGUAAGUAACUGAGCACAUCUUGACGGUACCUAAUCAGAAAGCCACGGCUAACUACGUG
rnacentral:rRNA from 1 species